UACGGAGGGUGCAAGCGUUGUUCGGAAUCACUGGGCGUAAAGAGCGUGUAGGCGGCCCGGUAAGUCCGCUGUAAAAGUCAAAGGCUCAACCUUUGAAUGUCAGUGGAUACUGCCGGGCUAGAGUCCGGAAGAGGCGAGUGGAACUCCUGGUGUAGCGGUGGAAUGCGCAGAUAUCAGGAAGAACACCAACGGCGAAGGCAGCUCGCUGGGACGGUACUGACGCUGAGACGCGAAAGCGUGGGGAGCGAACAGG
rnacentral:rRNA from 1 species